rnacentral:tRNA from 1 species
AGUUUUUAUAAUUUAAUUUAAAAUAUUGAUCUUGUAAAUCAAUCUUAAGCCUAAUCUCUUUAAAAACUU